GGAUGUACCUCAGUGGUAGGGCAUCUGCACUGCAUGCAUAAGGUCCCAGGUUCGAUCCCUGCCAGCUUCA